GCAGUCAGCAGAGGGUGCUCCUGCAGCGAGGGAGUGCUGCCAUGCGUGCCCGAUAGGAAGUUUUGGUUUAUAAGUUAUUAACCACAGCCCUCUGACACACUAGCAGACUCACAUCUGUGGACAUUUUAUAUAAAAGACAAGUAAUGGGAGAAGUAAAGCCACUGGCCAGCUCUCAGUGCUCACAGAACAGCAGCCUCCACAUGCACUGAAAUUGAGAGAUAGCCAAGCCCUGGUACUGAAGGCCAGUUGACUGACAGACAACAUGAUCCACUGGAUUCAUUAGUCUGUGGGCACAGGAGGCUCAAGAUGACUGCAGAGCUACUGACCAGUGGAUUGACCUUGGGAUCUCUGCAUAACCUGUAGCUUGCUCCGGGGCUCAACUGUGGAACAAACCAAACCAUCUUCUGCAAAAAUCAGCUACAAUACAGAGGAAAAUCAAACAACUAUCCUGAAGAGUGGAAGACAUUUCCCAGAGAUCCACAUUUAAGCAGCAGUUGCAGAUGAGAUGAACUCCCCCCCUCAAAAAAGUACCAACUAAACAAAAAGCCCGGUUCACAGAGAAGUCCUCCUUGGAGCAGAAAAUUAAA